rnacentral:rRNA from 1 species
AUACGGAGGGUGCAAGCGUUAAUCGGAAUUACUGGGCGUAAAGCGCUCGUAGGCGGCUUGUAAAGUCGGAUGUGAAAGCCCUGGGCUCAACCUGGGAACUGCAUUCGAUACUGGCAGGCUAGAGUAUAGUAGAGGCAAGUGGAAUUCCGGGUGUAGCGGUGAAAUGCGUAGAUAUCCGGAGGAACAUCAGUGGCGAAGGCGACUUGCUGGACUAAUACUGACGCUGAGGAGCGAAAGCGUGGGGAGCAAACGGGAUUAGAAACCCCAGUAGUCC